UUUAAAAAAAAUCUUACCAAAGUUUUUGUAAAUAAUGUCAUGCAUGCAAAAGGAUACUUCGAAUUUAAAUGAUUCAAACAUGUUGAUGAGGCAAGAUGUAUCAAUAUCUCACGAUUCUUGACAACACAAAUUUAUUUGACAAGCUCCUAAAAAAAAUUGCGAUAAGCUCAACUAUCAUUUUUGCUUUUUCAAAAGAAAAAAAAAAGAAAAAAAAAAACUUGCUCCCUCCGUCCACCAAAGAUAUGCAACAAUUUUCUUUUUCGUCCAUCCAUAAAAAAUAUGUCACAUCCAUUUUUAAAAGUAGAGUCCACAUAACUCCACUCACAUUUAGAACCCUACUCCACUACUAACUCUAC
rnacentral:lncRNA from 1 species